rnacentral:rRNA from 1 species
UACGUAGGGGGCUAGCGUUGCCCGGAAUCAUUGGGCGUAAAGAGCGUGUAGGCGGUCCGGUAAGUCCGUUGUGAAAGUCAGGGGCUCAACCCUUGAAUGCCGGCGGAUACUGUCGGGCUAGAGUCCGGAAGAGGCGAGUGGAAUUCCCGGUGUAGCGGUGAAAUGCGCAGAUAUCGGGAGGAACACCUAUGGCGAAGGCAGCUCUCUGGGACGGUACUGACGCUGAGACGCGAAAGCGUGGGGGAGCGAACAGG